AUCCAACUGAUGAGUCCCAAACAGAGCGAAACUCGCGUCCUAGAU
rnacentral:hammerhead_ribozyme from 1 species